AAUUUUGGUCAAUGGGGGAAACCCUGAUCCAGCCAUCCCGCGUGUAUGAUGAAGGCCUUCGGGAUGUAAAGUACUUUUGGCAGAGAAGAAAAGGUAUCCCCUACUACGGGCUACUGCUGACGGCAUCUGCAGAAUAACUCCCAGCUAACUACGUGCCAGCAGCCGCGGUAAUACGUAGGGUGCAAGGGUUAAUCGGAAUUACUGGGCGUAAAGCGGGUGUAGGCGGUUCGGAAAGAAAGAUGUGAAAUCCCAGGGCUCAACCUUGGAACUGCAUUUUUAACGGCCGAGCUAGAGUAUGUCAGAGGGGGGUAGAAUUCCACGUGUAGCAGUGAAAUGCGUAGAUAUGUGGAGGAAUACCGAUGGCGAAGGCAGCCCCCUGGGAUAAUACUGACGCUCAGACACGAAAGCGUGGGGAGCAAACAGG
rnacentral:rRNA from 1 species